GGGUGGCUCAGUUGGUUAGAGCAUGGUGCUGAGAAAUGCCAAGGUUGCAGGUUCAAUCCUCAUAUGGGACG